rnacentral:rRNA from 1 species
GAUGAACGCUGGCGGCGUGCCUAAUACAUGCCAGUCGAGCGAACGGACGAGAAGCUUGCUUCUCUGAUGUUAGCGGCGGACGGGUGAGUAACACGUGGAUAACCUACCUAUAAGACUGGGAUAACUUCGGGAAACCGUAGCUAAUACCGGAUAAUAUUUUGAACCGCAUGGUUCAAAAGUGAAAGACGGUCUUGCUGUCACUUAUAGAUGGAUCCGCGCUGCAUUAGCUAGUUGGUAAGGUAACGGCUUACCGAGGCAACGAUGCAUAGCCGACCUGAGAGGGUGAUCGGCCACACUGGAACUGAGACACGGUCCAGACUCCUACGGGAGGCAGCAGUAGGGAAUCUUCCGCAAUGGGCGAAAGCCUGACGGAGCAACGCCGCGUGAGUGAUGAAGGUCUUCGGAUCGUAAAACUCUGUUAUUAGGGAAGAACAUAUGUGUAAGUAACUGUGCACAUCUUGACGGUACCUAAUCAGAAAGCCACGGCUAACUACGUG